rnacentral:rRNA from 1 species
AGUGGGUUGUACCAGAAGUAGAUAGCUUAACCUUUUGGAGGGCGUUUACCACGGUAUGAUUCAUGACUGGGGUGAAGUCGUAACAAGGUAACCGUAGGGGAACCUGCGGUUGGAUCACCUCCUUAC